GGGCAGGAUAGGUGAAGUUAGCUAACCGGCGAAGCCGGAUAUCUACCUUCACAUCCCUUAUUCGCACCUACGGCGCUCAACGGGAAUCCUGCUCUGCGAGGCA
rfam:Burkholderia cenocepacia J2315 chromosome 1, complete genome